UACGUAGGGGGCAAGCGUUGUCCGGAUUUAUUGGGCGUAAAGCGCGUGUAGGCGGCCAUGUAGGUCUGACGCGAAAUCCCGAGGCUCAACCUCGGCAGGUCGUUGGAAACCAUAUGGCUAGAGUCCGGAAGAGGAGAGUGGAAUUCCUGGUGUAGCGGUGAAAUGCGCAGAUAUCAGGAAGAACACCGAUGGCGAAGGCAGCUCUCUGGGACGGUACUGACGCUGGGACGCGAAAGCGUGGGGAGCGAACAGG
rnacentral:rRNA from 1 species